UGAAUAAGGGUCGGCUAACUACGUGCCAGCAGCCGCGGUCAUACGUAGGACCCUAGCGUUAUCCGGAGUGACUGGGCGUAAAGAGUUGCGUAGGUGGUAAGUAAAGCGAAUAGUGAAAUCUGGUGGCUCAACCAUUCAGGCUAUUAUUCGAACUCACUUACUCGAGAGUGGUAGAGGUAACUGGAAUUUCUAGUGUAGGAGUGAAAUCCGUAGAUAUUAGAAGGAACACCAAUGGCGUAGGCAGGUUACUGGACCAUUUCUGACACUGAGGCACGAAAGCGUGGGGAGCGAACCGGAUUAGAUACCCGGGUAGUCCACGCCGUAAACUAUGGAUACUAGCUGUUGGAGGUAUCGACCCCUCCAGUAGCGAAGCUAACGCGUUAAGUAUCCCGCCUGUGGAGUACGGCCGCAAGGCUAAAACAUAAAGGAAUUGACGGGGACCCGCACAAGCGGUGGAUCGUGUUCUUUAAUUCGAUGCUAAACGAAGAACCUUACCAGGGCUUGACAUCCAGGGAAUUUUUGGGAAACCAAUUAGUGCCUUUUGGAGCCCUGUGACAGGUGAUGCAUGGCCGUCGUCAGCUCGUGUCGUGAGAUGUUUGGUUAAGUCCAUCAACGAGCGCAACCCUUAUACUUAGUUGUAUUUUUCUAGGUAGACUGCCCCGGUAACGGGGAGGAAGGGGGGGAUGAUGUCAGGUCAGUAUUUCCCUUACGUCCUGGGCUAGAAACACGAUACAAUGGCAAGUACAAUGCGCAGCGAAACAGCAAUGUGGAGCAAAUCGCAUCAAAGCUUGUCCCAGUUCGGAUUGGAGGCUGAAACUCGCCUCCAUGAAGUCGGAAUCGCUAGUAAUCGCAGAUCAGCAAGUUGCGGUGAAUACGUUCCCGGGUCUUGCACACACCGCCCGU
rnacentral:rRNA from 1 species